rnacentral:tRNA from 1 species
GGAGGAGUGUCUGAGUGGUUUAAGGUGCAUCCUUGGAAAGGAUGUGUGCCGCAAGGCACCGCAGGUUCGAAUCCUGUCUCCUCCG